rnacentral:rRNA from 1 species
GAUUUACUGGGCGUAAAGCGUCUGCAGGCGGACAGGUAAGUUGGGCGUGAAAGCUCCGGGCCCAACCCGGAGAGGUCGUUCAAUACUGCGUGUCUAGAGGGUGUCAGAGGGGAGUGGAAUUUCCGGAGUAGCGGGUAAAAUGCGCAGAGAUCGGAAAGAACACCAAUGGCGAAGGCAGCUCCCUGGGGCAACCCUGACGCUAAGAGACGAAAGCUAGGGGAGCGAACAGGAUUAGAGACCCUGGUAGUCCUAGCCCUAAACGAUGGAUGCUGGAUGUGGGGCCAUAGCGCUCCGUGUCGAAGCGAACGCGUUAAGCAUCCCGCCUGGGGACUACGGCCGCAAGGUUAAAACUCAAACGAAUUGACGGGACCCCGCACAAGCAGCGGAGCGUGUGGUUUAAUUCGAUGCUACACGAAGAACCUUACCUGGGUUUGACAUCUAGGUGGUAGUGAAGCGAAAGCGGAGCGACCCUUCGGGGAGCCUAGACAGGUGCUGCAUGGCUGUCGUCAGCUCGUGCCGUGAGGUGUCGGGUUAAGUCCCGUAACGAGCGCAACCCUUGCCCUCCGUUAUACGUGUCAGAGGGGACUGCCGGCGGUAAGCCGGAGGAAGGUGGGGAUGACGUCAAGUCAGCAUGGCCUUUAUAUCCAGGGCUACACACACGCUACAAUGGCCAGUACAAAGGGCAGCGAAGCCGCGAGGUGGAGCGAAUCCCAGCAAAGCUGGUCGUAGUUCGGAUUGCAGGCUGCAACCCGCCUGCAUGAAGCUGGAGUUGCUAGUAACCGCGCGUCAGCCAUAGUGCGGUGAAUACGUU